rnacentral:rRNA from 1 species
GAUGAACGCUGGCGGCGUGCCUAAUACAUGCAAGUCGAGCGAACGGACGAGAAGCUUGCUUCUCUGAUGUUAGCGGCGGACGGGUGAGUAACACGUGGAUAACCUACCUAUAAGACUGGGAUAACUUCGGGAAACCGGAGCUAAUACCGGCUAAUAUUUUGAACCGCAUGGUUCAAAAGUGAAAGACGCUCUUGCUGUCACUUAUAGAUGGAUCCGCGCUGCAUUAGCUAGUUGGUAAGGUAACGGCUUACCAAGGCAACGAUGCAUAGCCGACCUGAGAGGGUGACCGGCCACACUGGAACUGAGACACGGUCCAGACUCCUACGGGAGGCAGCAGUAGGGAAUCUUCCGCAAUGGGCGAAAGCCUGACGGAGCAACGCCGCGUGAGUGAUGAAGGUCUUCGGAUCGUAAAACUCUGUUAUUAGGGAAGAACAUAUGUGUAAGUAACUGUGCACAUCUUGACGGUACCGAAUCAGAAAGCCACGGCUAACUACGUG